AUUGAACGCUGGCGGUAUGCCUUACACAUGCAAGUCGAACGGUAGAGGGGCAACCCUUGAGAGUGGCGAACGGGUGAGUAAUACAUCGGAACGUGCCCAGUCGUGGGGGAUAACGUAGCGAAAGCUACGCUAAUACCGCAUACGACCUGAGGGUGAAAGCGGGGGAUCGCAAGACCUCGCGCGAUUGGAGCGGCCGAUGGCAGAUUAGGUAGUUGGUGGGGUAAAGGCCUACCAAGCCUGCGAUCUGUAGCUGGUCUGAGAGGACGACCAGCCACACUGGGACUGAGACACGGCCCAGACUCCUACGGGAGGCAGCAGUGGGGAAUUUUGGACAAUGGGCGAAAGCCUGAUCCAGCCAUACCGCGUGCGGGAAGAAGGCCUUCGGGUUGUAAACCGCUUUUGUCAGGGAAGAAAUCUUCUGGGUUAAUACCUCGGGAGGAUGACGGUACCUGAAGAAUAAGCACCGGCUAACUACGUGCCAGCAGCCGCAGUAACAC
rnacentral:rRNA from 1 species